rnacentral:tRNA from 3 species
AAUGGAAAGGUAGUUCUUAUUUUUAUUUUCGAAAUAAAAGAUUAAAUUUAUAUUU